rnacentral:lncRNA from 12 species
GGAAUGGGAAUGGGAAUGGGAAUGGGAAUGGGAAUGGGAAUGGGAAUGGGAAUGGGAAUGGGAAUGGGAAUGGGAAUGGGAAUGGGAAUGGGAAUGGUUUGACCUUCCUCUCCAGUACGUUUUGGUUUAUUCCCACAUGGCCACAUGCAGAGGGGAUUGUCCCCAGUGAGCUCCUGGUCAGGGUUUCCUCCAUCCCUGCCACCCUGAUGGAUGCCUGAGGAGGAUGAGAUGGGGAUGAGAUUGGAAAUGGGAAUUGAAUGGGAUGGGAUGGGAUGGGAUGGGAUAUCAUAUCCUCGCUCUGGGGCAGGAGCCAAGUGUGAGCAAUGGCAGGAGGAGCAGGGAUGUGCUGGCAUCGCUCCCUCCCUGCUGUGCCCCGUGUCAGGGGAGCAGGGGGCAGCACUGGGUGCAGGCAGCCCUCCCUGCCAGCUCCUGCCCACAGGCUCAGCUCUCUGAGGGACAGUGAAACGGUUCGGGGGUACCUUGUUCCCCCAAAACAGAUGUUUGGGCUGCGCUGGCAGAAGGGCAAGGCUUGAACAUCUCUUCCUGCAGCCCAACCCCAAAAGUUGUCCCACUGCCA